rnacentral:rRNA from 1 species
AGCGAACGCUGGCGGCAGGCCUAAAACAUGCAAGUCGAACGCCCUAGCAAUAGGGAGUGGCAGACGGGUGAGUAACACGUGGGAACGUGCCUUUUGGUUCGGAACAACACAGGGAAACUUGUGCUAAUACCGGAUAAGCCCUUACGGGGAAAGAUUUAUCGCCAAAAGAUCGGCCCGCGUCUGAUUAGCUAGUUGGUGGGGUAACGGCCCACCAAGGCUACGAUCAGUAGCUGGUCUGAGAGGAUGAUCCGCCACACUGGGACUGAGACACGGCCCAGACUCCUACGGGAGGCAGCAGUUAGGAAUCUUGGACAAUGGGCGCAAGCCUGAUCCAGCCAUGCCGCGUGAGUGAUGAAGGCCUUAGGGUUGUAAAGCUCUUUCAGCGGGGAAGAUAAUGACGGUACCCGCAGAAGAAGCCCCGGCUAACUUCGUGCCAGCAGCCGCAGUAAUAC